rnacentral:rRNA from 1 species
UUUUUAUUGAGAGUUUGAUCCUGGCUCAGGACGAACGCUGGCGGCGUGCUUAACACAUGCAAGUCGAGCGAUGAAGCUUCUUCGG